GCAGUCAUAAUUUCUCAGCAUUCACACCACCAUGCUUCGACUUCUCAUCCUGUGUAUAUAUUUUUUGCUAGGGCACCUCAUUGUUUUCUCAAGCAGCUCCUGCUUUGUUAUCCAUAGGAAAAUCAAUGAUCUGCAUUAAUAAAACAGAUUAUGAAAUAUAUUAUAGUACUGGGAUAUUAUAACAGCUACAGUAUAGUCAAGUUUGUGGAUCUGCGCUGUUUGAUUAAUCAGCAUUGCAGAUGGUAGCCACUUCGUAUUUUUGCAGUCGAUCAAGGGAUUUGCAGUACGUACGGAUACGCAUGCUUUUAAGCAUAAGGUUUAAAUAGCAAAAUUUUAACUCUAGCUUCCCCCCAGGAAUCAUUCUACGCGCAGCCACCUUCAUUGCCAGCAUAAAAUAGAGCUGAUGUAACCAAGAAGGCAAGAUUUUAACACUAGCUUAUUCCUUUUAUCAUUGAUCAUCUUCGUAUAAUCAUUUUCAGCUUUAUCUUUAUUACUUAGCUGUUUUUCGAAAUUUAGAACACCUGAUGUUUCAAGAAUUUUAUUUGACUAAACUACAGGGGCUCUAAGUAGUGUAAUCAAGGUUCUGUUCAGAUUUGUUUUCAAGUUUUGCUAGAUCUGAGCAACCCUUCUUAAAGUUCUCUCAUUGCGUUAGGGCUGCUAGCUACUUGUGUUUUGAAUGAUUAGCAAUCAAUUCAUUUUGUCCCCUUCUGAUAUUGCCUCAGCACAUCUGAUGUAGUGAAUAAGACGAUGUCUUUCAUUUAUGGUUUGGCAUUAGGAGAGGUGAAGGCCUUCAAUUGAUACUAUAAUUGAACUCGAGGGUGAGCAUUUUUCGAGAGAAGAAUGUUGUACUUGGUAAUAAAUCAAGAACGAGUUCUUAACUUGGCGAGAAUAAUGCAUUGAAUAAGAUGAUGUAUUUCCUUGAUGGUUUGGCUUGGUUAUAUGUGUUUUGAAAUAAAUGAGUUAAAACUUUGAAUCUAGGAUCUUAGAAAGUUAUGAAAAAAUUAUAUAGCUUACUCCAAAUUCAAGAUAAUUUUCAUUUAAAUCUCAAAGUUCAUUUCAUUUAUUUUUCAAUCCUUUGAUUAGACAGAAGAGAUAGAAACUUGUAGAAAAACAAUGAGUAGAAAGAAAGACGCUAAUUUCUUCAUUUUUCAACAAUAAAACUCAACGUUUUUAUGUCAACGGGUGUUUGAUGGUGGUUGUUUUGAACCUUCAUCUUAUCUAGAAAAAUAGAUCCGGGUGGAGAGAGAGAAGGUUUUCCGAAAUUACUUCUGUUUUUUUGGACCAUUGUGGGUGAUUUUUUUGGGUCGUUUAAGUGGUACUUUUAGGUUCUAAGAGUGUUUAUUAGUUAUUUUUUGGUAGUCUAAGGGUAUAUAAAGAAUGUUGUGGUGUGGAAUCAAAUCAUUAUAUAUUAUAUUUUAAAUGAAUUCUACUUGAGCAUGGCUUCUAUUUAUUUUUUUAUAGUCUCCUUUCCUUUGUGAUUUGAAUAUUUAUGGAUUUCCUCCUCUUUCUUUUUCCUCUCCACAUUAACAUCAUAGAAAAUUAUGAUAACAUCAAGCUCAAGUCCCUGCGCCCCAUCUAAAACAGUUUUUGAUGAUAAUCAGGUAGUCAGCAGAAGAUGGGGAUCUACUGAAAUUGAUUUAUAAUCUUUUGUCCUGAUGUUUUCUAUUUUCUUGAUUAGUUUGUUUCUCCUGUUUUUAUUGCAAUGUUUUCUUUCAUUCUUUUUAAACAGUUUUGAUGUAGGAAGAUUUUUAGAGAAAGUUAUUUGUUAAUUAUUUUUAUUUUUAUUUAACUUAGGAAUAUAUUUUCACUUAUGAUGUUUUAUUCUUUCAAUUCAUUUUAGAAAUUUUGUUUUCUCUAAUUGAGUUUAUGCCGAGUAUGAAAGAGGUUAUUUAGUUAUAUAUAAGAAAAUAUUCAAUAAUAAAAUUUUUAAUUAGGAUUUUUUGGUGUGGUGAUCCUAUGCGAUAGAAUUAUGUGUUGUUUUGUGCUUGAUGUCUUUCUUGUGUUAAUUUCAUCUACGUUGAUUGGUAUCAAAACCCAGCAAUUUCUAAAGAUUAGUUGUUAUAUGCAUUGAAUAAUCAUCACUAGAAGAAGAGAUUAUAAAUAAGGACAUGCUAUAUAGAAAGGGAUGAGAAGGUUCUCCCUUUAGAAAGAGAUGUUGAGAAAUCAUGUCAAUUAAUGUUUUUUAUGCAAAAUUUAAUAUAAAAGGAGUGGAGUUCAUAUCUAAAUUUAUUAUAUAUUCAAGGAAGAGAAAGAAAAGAGGUUGAAGAGUUUUGAUUGAACAUUCAUGAAAUUAAAGCAAGAACAAUUUGAACAUGAAAACAAGUUCCUUCCAAUCCAAUCAAGAGGAUUUUUGGAGAAAGUUAUUUGUUUUCUUAGUUACUUUUAUUCCUAUUAAGUUUAGGAAAAUAUUUUUAUGGUGUUUUUACUCUUUCACUUUAGUUUAGAAUUUUUUUUUUUUUUAAUUCAGUUUACUUCUAAUACUAAUAUAAAUUAAGCUGUUUAGUUUGAAUUUUAGGAGGUUACUUGAAGAAAAAAUAUUGGGUAAUAAAAUUUUGAAUUAAAGUUUUUUUUUUUUGAUAUAAUGACCCUAUUCUAUAGAAUUAUGUGUUAUCUUUCUUGUGUUGUUCUGUGGAUGUCAAGUUUCUUGGUGAAAGUUACUUUAUCUUUCAAAAAAAAAAAAUCUAUGAUUUCCCCCAACGAAACAGUCCAAUACUGGUAGUUAUAGUUGGGAAUUCCAACCUUGGUAUUGCAGGUUCCAAUCACAGAUGGGUAGGUAAGAGCUGAGGGAACAAGACAGGGACACUUCCUACUGUGUAAGCCAAGGCUUCAUUAGCCUUCCAAUAAACCAGAAAUGAGAAAGAGAACAUGUCAACGCGAAAGCUAAUAUUGGAGCGCACCUAUCAUUCACAUCAGACAGGAACAGGACUUUGUUCUAGCAAUUCUUUCCCAGUGAUGCCAUCCUUCAAAUCUUUAAAAUAAAUGUCGUAGUCCUUCUCCUGAGGUGGG
rnacentral:lncRNA from 1 species